rnacentral:rRNA from 1 species
UACGUAGGGUGCGAGCGCUGUCCGGAAUUAUUGGGCGUAAGAGCUCGUAGGCGGUCUGUCGCGUCGAAUGUGAAACCCGGGGCUUAACCCUGGGCUUCAGUGGAUACGGGCAGACUAGAGGCAGGUAGGGGAGAUGGAAUUCCUGGUGUAGCGGUGAAAUGCGUAGAUAUCAGGAGGAACACCUGUGGUGUAGACAGCUUACUGGACCAUUUCUGACGCUGAGACACGAAAGCGUGGGUAGCAAACAGG